UGCAAUGAGAGUUGUGCUAAGGUAGCAUAAUCAUUAGUUCUUUAAUUGGGGGCUGGAAUGAAGGGCUGGACAAAAAGAAAUCUAUUUUAAUAAUAAUAAUUGAAGUUUACUUUUAAGUGAAGAGGCUUAAAUGAUUCUGAAGGACGAUAAGACCCUAUAAAAUUUUACAUUUUCUAAAUUAACUUUAAAUUAUUUGUAAAAAGAAGUUAUUUAAAAAAAUUGUUUCAUUGGGGUGAUGAGAGUAUAAACUUAACUGCUUUUAUUUUAUACAAAAUAUUUGAAAUUAUAGAACCUUUUUAAAGAUUUAAAGUAAAAGUUACUUUAGGGAUAACAGCGUUUUUUUUUUUGAGAGUUCUAAUCGACAAAAAAGUUUGCGACCUCG
rnacentral:rRNA from 1 species